rnacentral:rRNA from 1 species
CUGACUGCUAUUGGAGUGGGACUAAGUCACGCUAGUCAAAGGCGCGGAAUGGAGCACCUGGCGUACGGCUCAGUAACACGUAGUCAACCUACCCUAAGGACGAGGACAACCACGGGAAACUGUGGCUAAUACUCGAUAAGAAAUUUGGCCUGGAACGGUAUCUUUCACAAAACCGGCUCGCCGUGAGACACGGGCCUUAGGAUGGGGCUGCGGACGAUUAUGCUAGAUGGCGGUGUAAAGGACCACCAUGGCUACGGUCGGUAUGGGCGAUGGAAGUCGGAGCCCAGAGUCGGCUACUGAGACAAGGAGCCGAGCUUUACGAAGCUUAGCGGUCGCGAAAACUCGCCAAUGCACGAAAGUGUGAGUGGGCUACUCCAAGUGUCAUUCUUACGGAUGACUGUCGCUCAGUCUUACCAGCUGAGAAAGGAAGGAGAGGGCAAGGCUGGUGCCAGCCGCCGCGGUAAAACCAGCUCUUCGAGUGGUCAGGACGAAUAUUGGGUCUAAAGCGCUCGUAGCCGGACAAGUAGGUUCUUGGUUAAAUCCGACAGCAUAACUGUUGGUCUGCUGGGAAUACCGCUAGUCUUGGAAGCGGGAGAGGACAGAGGUAGUCAUAGGGCAGGGGUGAAAUCCAGUGAUCCUAUGGCGACCACCGAUGGCGAAGGCAUCUGUCUGGAACGUAUUCGACGGUGAGGGGCGAAAGCUAGGGGAGCGACCCGGAUUAGAUACCCGGUUAGUCCUAGCCGUAAACGAUGCGGACUAGGUGUUACAGCGGCCAAGAGCCACUGUAGUGCCACAGCGAAGGCGUUAAGUCCGCCACCUGGGGAGUACGGAUGCAAGUCUGAAGCUUAAAGGAAUUGACGGGGGCGCACCACCAGGAGUGAAGCCUGCGGUUUAAUUGGAGUCAACGCCGGG